rnacentral:misc_RNA from 1 species
GAUGAAGAACGCAGCGAAAUGCGAUAAGUAGUGUGAAUUGCAGAAUUCAGUGAAUCAUCGAAUCUUUGAACGCACAUUGCGCCCCUUGGUAUCCCGAGGGGCAUGCCUGUUCGAGCGUCAUUUCACCACUCAAGCCUGGCUUGGUGUUGGGCGACGUCCCCUUUGGGGACGCGCCUCGAAACGCUCGGCGGCGUGGCACCGGCUUUAAGCGUAGCAGAAUCUUUCGCUUUGGAAGUCGGGGCCCCGUCUGCCGGAAGACCUACUCGCAAGGUUGACCUCGGAUCAGGCAGGGAUACCCGCUGAACUUAAGCAUAUCAAUAAGCGGAGG